rnacentral:rRNA from 1 species
CUUUAUUGGAGAGUUUGAUCCUGGCUCAGGAUGAACGCUGGCGGCGUGCCUAAUACAUGCAAGUCGAGCGAAUAGAUUAAGAGCUUGCUC